rnacentral:piRNA from 1 species
GUGGUCACUGCCGGGGAACAUCUUCU